rnacentral:rRNA from 1 species
CCUACGGGAGGCAGCAGUGGGGGAUAUUGCACAAUGGGGGGAACCCUGAUGCAGCGACGCCGCGUGGGUGAAGGAGUAUUUCGGUAUGUAAAGCUCUAUCGGCAGGGAAGAAAUUGGACGGUACCUGACUAAGAAGCCCCGGCUAACUACGUGCCAGCAGCCGCGGUAAUACGCAGGGGGCAAGCGUUAGCCGGAUUCACUGGGUGUAAAGGGAGCGUAGGCGGCAAUGCAAGCCAGGGGUGAAAGGCCGGGGCCCAACCCCGGGACUGCCCUUGGAACUGGAUGGCUGGAGUGCGGGAGGGGCAGGCGGAAUUCCUGGUGGAGCGGUGAAAUGCGUAGAUAUGAGGAGGAACACCGGCGGCGAAGGCGGCCUGCUGGAGCGCGACUGACGUUGAGGCUCGAAAGCGUGGGGAGCGAACAGGAUUAGAUACCCCAGUAGUC